UACGUAGGGGGCGAGCGUUGUCCGGAUUUACUGGGCGUAAAGGGUGAGUAGGCGGUUAUAUAUGUCAGGUGUAAAAAGCUAUGGCUUAACCAUAGUAAGCACUUGAAACUGUAUGACUUGAGUGCAGGAGAGGUAAGCGGAAUUCCUAGUGUAGCGGUGAAAUGCGUAGAUAUUAGGAGGAACACCGGUGGCGAAGGCGGCUUACUGGACUGUAACUGACGCUGAGUCACGAAAGCGUGGGUAGCAAACAGGAUUAGAUACCCUGGUAGUCCCUGA
rnacentral:rRNA from 1 species